rnacentral:lncRNA from 1 species
AAAGUAUUUGGUGGAGUGUGACAAUAUGAACCGCUUUGACCGACCAGACAGAAAUGUUCGGCAGCCUCAGGAAGGUUUUUGGAAAAGGCCACCCCAGAGGUGGAGUGGACAGGAGCAUUACCACCUCAGCCACCCUGACCACUAUCAUCACCAUGGAAAAAGUGACUUGAGCAGCCUCAAGUACUACAGCCUUCCAGCAGCCUUCCCAGACCCACAGAUCACACCCAGGGAAAACUAAUAAAGCCACAACGUAUCGAGGCCCGCAGUGAAUGCUCAAUCCAAGACAUGCAUCAGGGCGGUGCACAUCCGGAAGAAAGCUUUACACACGUCUUGCACCAAGAAAGCAACUAUGGUUUGGAAGAGCAGCCUUUUUCAUCAGGCCCACAAUUAACAAUGGAUGUGGCUAAGAGUACACCUUCUGAAGCAAACUUAAACAUUACUGUAAAUGCUCAAGAGCCUUAUCAUUUGGCAAACAAUCAAAUUAGUGACAUGCAGUUUAUACCCACUUCUCUUCAGACACCUCCCGAGUCAAGUACAGUAGACCAGGCUAAGAGAGUUGGAAGAAAUCAGUCUCCGCCAGUGGGUUAUAUGUCUCAGCCCAAGUCCUUGCAGCUUUUAAAGCCAUCCAUAUUGAGUUCUUUGGUACCGCCUCCAGUUUCUGAAUCAUCUCCAAGUAGGACUCCCACUUGUAAAAAGUCACCAAUAAUCACAACAUGUAAUUCAGCAAAACUUCAGCCAACAUCUAGUCAAACAAAUCUUGCAAAUAAUCAGAAUCUGAAAGCAUCUAAG